rnacentral:rRNA from 1 species
GACGGAGAGAGCUAGUGUUACUCAAAUUAACUGGGCGUAAAGGGCGCGUAGAUAACUUUUUAAGUUAAUAGUUAAAGAUUAAAUCAAAAAGGUUUUUAAAAUUAUUAAUACUGAUUAGAUAGAGUUUUGGAGAGGGUAGCAGUACUUUUAAAGGAGAGGUAACAUUCUACGAUAAUAAAAGGACUACCGGUUGCGAAGGCGGCUACCUGGACAAAACUGACAUUGAGGCGCGAAAGCGUGGGGAGCAAACAGA